rnacentral:tRNA from 2 species
CGGGGACUGGCUCAAUGGUAGAGCGUUCGCUUGGGGUGCGAAAGGUUCCGGGUUCGAUUCCCGGGUCCCCGACCA